rnacentral:rRNA from 1 species
UACAGAGACUGCGAGCGUUAUCCGGAUUCACUGGGCGUAAAGGGUGCGCAGGCGGCCGUGUGUGUGAGGCGUGAAAGCCCGGGGCUUAACCCCGGAAUUGCACCUCAAACUACACGGCUAGAGCAUUGGAGAGGGUAGCGGAAUUCACGGUGUAGCAGUGAAAUGCGUAGAUAUCGUGAGGAACACCAGAGGCGAAGGCGGCUACCUGGACAAUUGCUGACGCUCAGGCACGAAAGCGUGGGGAGCAAAAGGG